rnacentral:rRNA from 1 species
UGAGGAAUAUUGGUCAAUGGGCGAGAGCCUGAACCAGCCAAAUCGCGUGAAGGAAGACUGCCUUAUGGGUUGUAAACUUCUUUUAUACAGGAAUAAAAAAGGGGACGUGUCCCUUAUUGCAUGUACUGUAUGAAUAAGCAUCGGCUAACUCCGUGCCAGCAGCCGCGGUAAUACGGAGGAUGCGAGCGUUAUCCGGAUUUAUUGGGUUUAAAGGAUGCGCAGGCGGGCUUUUAAGUCAGCGGUGAAAUCUCGGGGCUUAACUCCGAAACUGCCGUUGAAACUGGGAGUCUUGAGUAUGGAUGAAGUAGGCGGAAUUCGUUGUGUAGCGGUGACAUGCUUAGAUAUAACGAGGAACUCCGAUUGCGUAGGCAGCUUACUAAGCCAUAACUGACGCUCAAGCACGAAAGCGUGGGGAUCAAAACAGGAUUAGAUACCCUGGUAGUCCACGCCGUAAACGAUGAUUACUAGUUGUAUGCGAUAUACCGUAUGUGACUAAGCGAAAGCGAUAAGUAAUCCACCUGGGGAGUACGCCGGCAACGGUGAAACUUAAAGGAAUUGAC